GGGUACAGGAAAGAAGCCAGUGCCCCAGGUCACCUAAGACAGGCAUCAAGCUCAUUCGGCAAAAUCCAGUUGGGUUGUUCUAACUGGCUCAUUCUUACUUGGAUGACCUCUGCAUGGCAGGAGUAACUUCUGUGCCUUUGUUUUCAUGUUCAGCGCCAUGGAUAUUGCACCCUGGGGGAAGCUUUCAACAGACUGGACUUCUCAACUGCCAUUCUGGAUUCCAGAAGAUUUAACUACGUGGUCCGGCUGUUGGAGCUGAUAGCAAAGUCACAGCUCACAUCCCUGAGUGGCAUCGCCCAAAAGAACUUCAUGAAUAUUUUGGAAAAAGUGGUACUGAAAGUCCUUGAAGACCAGCAAAACAUUAGACUAAUAAGGGAACUACUCCAGACCCUCUACACAUCCUUAUGUACACUGGUCCAAAGAGUCGGCAAGUCUGUGCUGGUCGGGAACAUUAACAUGUGGGUGUAUCGGAUGGAGACGAUUCUCCACUGGCAGCAGCAGCUGAACAACAUUCAGAUCAGCAGGCCUGCCUUCAAAGGCCUCACCUUCACUGACCUGCCUUUGUGCCUACAACUGAACAUCAUGCAGAGGCUGAGCGACGGGCGGGACCUGGUCAGCCUGGGCCAGGCUGCCCCCGACCUGCACGUGCUCAGCGAAGACCGGCUGCUGUGGAAGAAACUCUGCCAGUACCACUUCUCCGAGCGGCAGAUCCGCAAACGAUUAAUUCUGUCAGACAAAGGGCAGCUGGAUUGGAAGAAGAUGUAUUUCAAACUUGUCCGAUGUUACCCAAGAAAAGAGCAGUAUGGAGAUACCCUUCAGCUCUGCAAACACUGUCACAUCCUUUCCUGGAAGGGCACUGACCAUCCGUGCACUGCCAAUAACCCAGAGAGCUGCUCCGUUUCACUUUCACCCCAGGACUUUAUCAACUUGUUCAAGUUCUGAAUCCCAGCACAUGACAACACUUCAGAAGGGUCCCCCUGCUGACUGGAGAGCUGGGAAUAUGGCAUUUGGACACUUCAUUUGUAAAUAGUGUACAUUUUAAACAUUGGCUCGAAACUUCAGAGAUAAGUCAUGGAGAGGACAUUGGAGGGGAGAAAUGCAGUUGCUGACUGGGAAUUUAAGAAUGUGAACUUCUCACUAGAAUUGGUAUGGAAAAGCAAAAUACUGUAAAUAAACUUUUUUUCUAACAAUUUGCCA
rnacentral:sRNA from 1 species